rnacentral:rRNA from 1 species
AGUGGCAGACGGGUGAGUAACAUGUGGGUAUCUACCCUUUGGCCUGGAAUAACACGAGGAAACUUGUGCUAAUACCGGAUAAGUCUUUACGGAGAAAGCUUUAUGCACCAUUGGAUGAGCCCGCACUUGAUUAGUUUGUUGGUGGGGUAAUGGCCUACCAAGACUGUGAUCAAUAGCUGAUUUGAGAGGAUGAUCAGCCACAUUGGGACUGAGACACGGCCCAAACUCCUACGGGAGGCAGCAGUGGGGAAUCUUGCACAAUGGGCGAAAGCCUGAUGCAGCCAUGCCGCGUGUGUGAAGAAGGCUCUAGGGUUGUAAAGCUCUUUCAGUGGGGAGGAAAAGCUCUGAACUAAUACUUUAGAGCCUUGACAUUUCCUGCCCAACAACCACCGGCAAACUACGUGCCAUCAGCCUGCUGUAAUACUGAGGGUGCUAACGUUAAUCGGAAUUACUGAGCAUAUAGCGGGCGAAAGUGGUUUGAUAAGCUAGGUGUGAGAGCUCUGAGCUCUACCUGUGAACUGCAAUUAAGACUGUCUGACUCUAGUAUAUUAGAGGGAGGUUGAAUUUCCUGUGAAGCACUAAAAUGCGUAAAUGUAGCAAUGAACAUCAUUGCUGAAGGUGAGCCAACUGGACUAAUACUGACACUGAGGUGCGAUAGCGAGGGGAGCAUACAGGAUUAGAUAGCCUAGUAGUCCUCGCAGUCAACGAUGUCUACUAGCUGUGUGGAGACUUGAUAUAUUAGUGGCACAGUCAACGCGAUAAGUAGACCGCCUGGGGAGUACGGCCGCAAGGUUAAAACUCAAAUUAAUAGUCGAGGGCCCGCACAAGCAGUGGAUCAUGUGGUAUAAUUCGAUGCAGCGAGAAAAACCUUACCUACUCCAGACAUAUUACGAAGCUCUUGCAAUGAGAGUGUGUUUUAGAGAUCCAAUAUACAGGUGGUGCAUGGCGGUCGUCAGCUCGCGUGGCGAGAUGUUCCGUGAAGUGGGAGAUCGAGCGCAACCUUUAGCGUUAUUCGCAAGCGAUUUGGUCAGGAACUAUAAGGGGACUCUGGGUGAUAAACCGGAGGUAGGUGAGAACAACGUCAAGUCAUCAUGGACCUUACGAGUACGUCUACACACGUGAUACAAUGGGAGAGCCAGAGGGACGAUAACAGGAGAGAUGGUGCUAAUCCUAAAAACUUUCUCAUAGUCCGGAUCGGUUUGUACAACUCUCCUCCAUGAAGUUGGAAGUAGUUGUAAUCGCGGAUCAUCGUGGCGCGGUGAAUCCGUUCUAGGGUGUGCUACACUCCGCCCGUCACCCCAUGGAACGUGGAUUGCACCAGAAGUAGCUAGUAUACCCUUAGGGAGGCCGUUGACCACGGUAUGCUUACAUGACUGGGGUGAAGUCGUAACAAGGUAACC